ensembl:lncRNA
AUGAGAUGGUUUCUCAAAUGCUUUGCAAGUGUGUAAAAAGGUGAAAGUUAUACACAUUUUCACUAAUAACAUUUCACAACAUAAAGUCUUAAGGGUGACAAAAUUACCUGUCUCCUUUUCUGGAAGUAAUAUGAAAAUGAAAGAAAGCCAAAUACCAUUCUUUCUACCAUUUUAGAUUUUUUGUUCUUAACAUAUAUUAAAGUCCACACUACUAAAAUUCCAAUCCAUGCCACACUAAUCUUCAGCCUGUCACACGUGAUCCAGACAGUUCAACGACACUUAGAAGCACGUUGCAGCUUCUUCAAGCGUUUGCUCACACAUGUGCUCCAUCUGGGUGAUCCUCCCCACAUCCACCUCACCACAAUUGUAAAUUAGAACAACAUUUCUAUGUCCUAUUCAAAUGUUUGCUUUCUCCUCUGCUGCAGUCAGGAAUCAUAAGCUUUCUGAGUGUGAAAAGGCAGCAGAGGUAAAAUCCACAAAAGAGAUCUAAGUUCCAUAAAAUACCUCCAGAGGGUUGGUGAUCCAGGGAACAAAGAGCUUCCCUGGCUGUGAGGAGACCAGAUCAGUAUCAAAUCUGCUGUCUGUGCUAGAAACAACUCCCCCAACAGGUGCUCACCCUGCUAUUUGCUUUCCCCAUGUGAUGAGUGCAGAUUAAAUCAAGAAGUCAAUGGAGUGAGAGAGAGAGAGAGAGAGAGAUGUUUUACCUUCUCAGGAUGAACAACUUGUCAGCAUGACUGUGUGCCGGGGCGAGGCGAUGUUGAGAAAAUGCUUGGAAGCCACUGUUGAGAGAUGAAGCGCUUUUAAAAAGAUUCCAACAAGUGACUCUUAUCAAUGUGGACAUUAUGAAGGUCUAUGUUUACUACAGGUGAGAGAUCAUUGAGCCAUAUGAAUCUUUCUUAAAUGCAAAAGAGAAUUUUGAAGAGUCAGAACCUGUAUGAAUCUUUUCCCUCUCCCCCUCCUCCCUCAUGCUCUGGCUGUGUGACAGGUGGGGUUUUCUGGAUGAUACCUCAUUCCCUGCGAUCCUGUUUGUCCACUACUGGAAAAGCCAAAAUACAUUUCAUUCCACCUGACACGUGCUGGGGACAAGCUUGCCUACAAAUGCCCACGGGAACUGGCUCAGAUGGGCUUUCUCUAAUAGUCCUGCCUUUGUUGUGAAACCUCCAGCAGCACCUACUAACUAUGAAAUAGAGGCCUUUGCCGCCUGGCCCCUGCUGACUUUUUCCAUCUCAACUCUAGUUUUUACAUACGUGCAUGUUGCAUUCUAGCCACACCAAACUAUUAAAAAGUUUUUAAAGAAUGUAAAUCUUCCAUUUUUUAUUCUUUCACUUCUGUAUAUAUUUUUCUUCAGAUGUUCCUAGUACACUGACAGUAAUCAUCAAGUUAUUAUUCAGAUGUCAUGUCUUCAAUUUCCAAGACAGAAUCAACAUUAGUGGCACAUCCUAAAUAAUGUUCUGUGGACACGUGCAUGUAUUGCAAGCGUGAUUACUGGUCUACCCCCAGAACUGGCUGUAGCAUCCAGGGACAAGAACCCUAUCUCAUUUAUUUUACAAAGCACUUUCUGAGGUGCAUGGCACAUAUCAAAUGCUCUCUAAAAAAAUAUUUAUAAAUAGCCAUUUCUCAAAUUCUGCUAGUUAAGAUAAACACACGUAUUUACACUUUUCAAUCUAUUAUUAAAAUGGUUAUUAAUGAUGGAUGUGGCAUUAUCCAGAUUACUAAUGCUGGGUUAGAAAGCUAGAAAGAGAAAGCUACCUCUCACCUAGAAGAGCAACUCUCUGAAGCCCAGGAACCUUAAAUAGUGCUUUUAGGUUCAGAAACCUCCAGAUGCUUCUAGACUUCAUUCUUGCAAAUUUCAAGGCAAUCUCCCCCGGUUUAGACAUAGAAAGAGGAGUGAUAUGGAAUAUAUUUUACAGUAAACAGGCAGAAAAAGGAACAAAGAUUUUUGUGACAAUCACUUGAAGCUCAAACCACCUUCCCCACAACAUCUGUUCUAUCUCAGAGAGACACAGAGCAGGGAUUCUGAAAUUACACAGCAUGCAGAAAAAGGGACUCCCUCACCGGGGCUCUCUAACCUCGGGAUGAGGCCUACAGCAUUUAGCUCCUGCCUCAGGUGGCCACUAGGCUUAAGGAAGAAAGUAGAUGGUGGUCCCCUGAGGUU